AUAAUGGACUAAAUCUCUAAACUUUCAGCAUGUGUUGCUGUGUUUUCUUUGCCAUGACGGACUCUAACCCUCUGAAAUGGCAGAGCCUCCACUAUCCACGAUGAACUGUGACUGUGCUAAGAUGAACAGUAUCUGACCCUCUGCUAGAAACUGAAGGCAAGUCCCAGUCUGGGGUGGUGAGUGAGUGAGACACAGCAUGGAACUUGUAAUGU